GUAGGGAAUAUUGCGCAAUGGACGAAAGUCUGACGCAGCAACGCCGCGUGGGUGAUGACGCUUCUUGGAGUGUAAAACCCUGUCAGUGGGGACGAAACGCAUGAUAAGUAACUGUUUCAUGCCUGACGGUACCCACAGAGGAAGUCCCGGCUAACUCCGUGCCAGCAGCCGCGGUAAUACGGGGGGGACAAGCGUUGUUCGGAUUUACUGGGCGUAAAGGGCGCGUAGGCGGGUCUUCAAGUUGGAUGUGAAAACCGGCGGCUCAACCACCGGCCUGCAUUCAAAACUGUUGAUCUUGAGUCGGGAAGAGGAAAGCGGAAUUCCAGGUGUAGCGGUGAAAUGCGUAGAUAUCUGGAAGAACACCGGUAGCGAAGGCGGCUUUCUGGUCCCACACUGACGCUAAAGCGCGAAGGCUUGGGUAGCAAACAGGAUUAGAAACCCGGGUAGUCC
rnacentral:rRNA from 1 species